AGUGAACGCUGGCGGCAGGCCUAAUACAUGCAAGUCGAACGGCAGCACAGCAGAGCUUGCUCUGUGGGUGGCGAGUGGCGGACGGGUGAGGAAUACGUGGGAAUCUGCCCAGUCGUGGGGGAUAACGUAGGGAAACUUACGCUAAUACCGCAUGCGCCCUUUCGGGGGAAAGCCCGGGGGACCUUCGGGCCUGGCGCGAUUGGAUGAGCCCACGUCGGAUUAGCUAGUUGGCGGGGUAAAGCCCACCAAGGCGACGAUCCGUAGCUGGUCUGAGAGGAUGAUCAGCCACACUGGAACUGAGACACGGUCCAGACUCCUACGGGAGGCAGCAGUAGGGAAUAUUGGACAAUGGGCGCAAGCCUGAUCCAGCCAUGCCGCGUGAGUGAAGAAGGCCCUCGGGUGU
rnacentral:rRNA from 1 species